AACAGCGAGGCCAUGCCACCCUGAACAAGCCCAAUCCGGUCUGAUCUCAGAAGCUAAGCAGGGUCGGGCCUGGUUGGUACUUGGAUGGAAGACCACCUAGGAAGACCAGGUGCUGUAGGCU
rfam:Pteropus alecto contig46519, whole genome shotgun sequence.